rnacentral:lncRNA from 1 species
AGGCCUCAGGCUCCAUGAUCGCCUCCUGGAUUUUCGGAAAGUUCUGGACAGUUAAUGUAACUUGGACGCUGGGAAAAGCCUGUUCCUGGGAGAAUUGGGAGGUGAGAAGAGGGGGAGAGAAGGUGGCUGGGCAGCGAGCCAGGGCUUCUGCGGUGCGGCCUAACCAAGCCGGAUGAGCCUGGCACUGCUCUGCUGUUAGUCCAGGCCAGCCCUCCUGCCCAGCCCACAGCCGCACCGCGGCCUUUCUGCCUGGAAUCGUGUACAGAGUUUCCCCACAAAUACCCAACUCCAGCUUUCCCGGUUAUUUAAGACUUGUUUUGAAUAAAAGGAGUCGCUUCAAAAAGAAAUGUUGCUACAACACACAACCAGCGGCCUUCCCUCCAGCUGUGUCUGUAACUUGCAUGCGUUCAGUCUAAUAACUUUUAAUGUCUAGCCCUAAAACGUCUUUAUAAAAAAUAGCUUUACAGCAUAAUAGUCCAGGUGUCUUUCUGCUUGUUACCGGAGAUUAAAAAAAUGUGUAGGUUAGCUUUCAGAGACACCCCCUCCGCCACUCAAGAAAGACCAGG